CAACCUUCCAUUAUAUAUUACUGGGUUUUACAUUCUCAUGCAAUAAGUCCCACUAAAUAAAAAUUCACUCUGCUUUUUCAUGACUUUACAAUUCUCAUGUAUUUCAGUGCUUAUUCACAGGCUGACAGUACUCCUGUGUGACCCUACCCUUAGGGAGGAAAGGGCACUAAAAGACCAACGUGUUUGACAGAUUUCCCAGCUGGCUGUACUGGUUCAAACUGGUGUAGCCCCCUGGCUAGCAUAACACAGGACUGAGCUAGAAACUGUUUUUCAGUCCUCUGCACUGGAGGAGCAUGGUCACGAGCUAGAGCUCAGUUUCAACCUGUUUCCUGUGUCCUCCAGUAUGUACUUUGUGCUCUCAGCCUCCCCCUGUGUGUGAGUGCUUGCAAGCAACAGGAAACCACCUACAGGAGUUUCCUUGCUGUCUUGGAAGAGAGGACCAGUGCAGGAGUUCCUCUCUUUGGUGGCCUUUCCACAGAUCGGAACUUGACUGGUUGGAGGCUUAAAGCACAAGUAAAGAAUUAACUGGGGGUUGCCAAUAUGUUAGACACUCUCCCCAGUGAAUCCUGUCGUUUUUGUCCCUGGACUGGUGCUCUUUUUAGAAGCAAACAUCGUCACAGGGAAAAAAAA